GAGCUCAGUUGGCAGAGCCUGAGGCUCUUAACCUCACCGCCAUGGGUUCAAGCCCCACACU
rnacentral:tRNA from 1 species